rnacentral:rRNA from 1 species
GACGUAGGGCGCAAGCGUUGUCCGGAAUUAUUGGGCGUAAAGAGCUCGUAGGCGGCUUGUCACGUCGAUUGUGAAAGCCCGGGGCUUAACUCCGGGUCUGCAGUCGAUACGGGCUAGCUAGAGUGUGGUAGGGGAGAUCGGAAUUCCUGGUGUAGCGGUGAAAUGCGCAGAUAUCAGGAGGAACACCGGUGGCGAAGGCGGAUCUCUGGGCCAUUACUGACGCUGAGGAGCGAAAGCGUGGGGGAGCGAACAGG